GGGUAGUGGGCGGGACGUUGCGACAGUGGCUGGACGGUGCGUCGUGCUUGGCCGUGCUCUCAGUGGCCGGGGCGAGUGAACCGCGGGGGCCGCGCUCAGCCUUUAACCUGAUGCGGGAGCCCGCUCCCUCGCUGCCGGCCGGGUAGAAGGCCGAGCCGAUGUCCAGCUGUUUCCAUGUCUGGAACCAUUGCAAUCAAGGGACUUAGUCCAAAGCUAAUUAAUGGAGGCUUUCAUCCCAUGAAGUGCACAGAUGAAGCUUUCACACCACCCAAAAUAUUCAGCUUGAAGAACCUUUACUGCUAAGUUCAUCAGAGCAAACUUUAUCUGAAAAGCAUCAAGCAUCUUGUGGUUAUUGGUAACUUAAUCUUAGUACUCCUCUUCUAUGGUCCCUAGCAGAUAUUAAUACAUUGACAUGACUGGGAUCUGAGAAGUUUUGUGCCCCAUCAAAAAAAUCAUGCAUUAUGCUAUACCAGAUGGGCAUGGCAGGACAUGUGAUGUUUGGGGUAGGACUUAAAGUUGUGCAACUGUUGGAACCAAAUUCACAGAACCUGGACCUGGAGCUUCCUCCAGCCUGAUCCUGGGGAUUGGGCAAAGGAUCACUCUGUCCCAGACCCUGGGCCUGUCCGGUGCCUAAUCGUGAUGCUCAGCUGAAUAUUAGAAUUUGGCAUAAAGCUCACCUGAGUUACUUAAGUGUCAGGAUUGGGCACAGGACAGUUCCGGAUCCCAUUUUGGGACCUGGGGCUGUCCCCAGCCUGAUCAUGGGGUUUGGGCAGGGGUCAGCUGUGACCCAGACCCUAGGGCUGCCCCAUGCCUGAUCCUAGCACUCAGCUGGCCAUCCAGAUCCACCACAGAACAGCCCUGAGUUGGGGAUACACAAAAUACAAGCCUGCUACAAAUAAAUACCAUUAAAUAUGCAAGAACCGCAACAUCCUUCCCAGAGGACUAAACAUCAACAGUCCUCUGACUACUACACACAACUCUAAAUAUGCUUCACAACUAUGCAGGAAAACUUCAGAGACACUUAGAAAUCAUCUUCUUCACCUAACCUACUCCAAAAGAGAUCAACUUAAGGAGGAAAUCAACACAUGCUGCAACAACUUAGAAGAGAAAAAUUCAGGACCAACUUUCCCAACCACAAACAACCAUCAGACACAACAUCAACACCUUACAACAUUCCAACCUCAAACUCGAUGAAACUGAAAGAAGCCACCAAUCCUCAAAUAUUAUCAAUCUCUCCAUGCACACUUACCACAGCUGAAAAAUCUGUCCCGUCUAAAGGCCUGAAUUUUUGUCUGGAAAAAUACCCUAAUAAAAUACUGUAAUGUGGAGAACUAGAAGAAUUCUUCCAACACCUCUGCCUCAAGGAAUAUUUCAGCAGCCAAAAUGAAUCCACUUCCAACAACAUUUCAUCCUUUGACAACACUGAGGAAAAGAUCAGCACCCCAAAAAAUCAGAUUGGACAUUUCACGGGGUGAAAUUCUAACCUUGACCCAUAGGUGACACGUAGGGGGGCAUAGAGGAAAACAUGCACCCCCUGAGAUUGGCUACUGCUGAAGCUGCUGCCGGCUUCUGUGGGCGGUCGCUAUCCCCCCCGCCCGGCCUCCAGCAGCUGCGGGCGGUCCUCGCCCACUGCCGCUGAUAGCACACAUGGUGGCUGCAGGCGGUUCCCAGUCACCUCCCACCUACAGUGCAGGCAGAGGCUGCAGACAGUCCCUGUUCACCGCUCACCACCAUGGUGCCCCUCCAGUCGUGGGAGGCACCAGUCGUUCAUGCCUUGACCACUAUAUUGACUGCUUUAGGGAAAGAAUGAACAAUGAAAUAAUCAACAACACACACCACCAUAACAACCUCUCCCUCUCAAACAGAAGGUCCACAGAAUCUCUAAGAUCAAACCACCAAGUAGUAAUAAAACCAGCAGAUAAAGGAGGAGCUAUAGUUUUCCUUAACCAUGAAGACUACAUAAAAGAAGCCAGCAAACAACUCUGUGAUACCACCUACUACAGAAAGCUAGAGGAAGAUCCUACUCCCCUUUUCACCUUAAAACUCGAAACUACCAUCAAAUCGUUACCAUGUGAACUACAACAAAAACCAUAGAACUUGAUUCCCACUGCUACCCAACUCAGGGACUUUUUCCAUGCUUCCUAAAAUCCAUGAACAAGGAAACCCUGGCAGACUUAUCAUAUCCAACUAUGGAACCCUAGCUGAGGAAAUAUCAAGUUUCAUUGAAUCAAUCCUAAAACCUCUUGUCACCCAAAGAGUGAGUUUUGUCCAAGACAUAACAGACUUUCCAUGAAAACUUAAAAACACAGACCACCUUCCCAGCAACACCCUUCUAGCCACCAUAGAUGUUAUCAGCUUAUAUACCUGCCUUGCAUAUCUACAAGAGCAAGAUUAGAACUCCAAGUACAGACCUGAAGAUAUUACUGAUCUUAUACACUUCAUCCUCAUAUACAACAACUUCACUUUCAAGGACCAACACUUCCACCAGACCAUGGGCACAGCUAUGGGCACAAAAUGGCCCCUCAAUAUGCCAACCUUUUUAAGCCACCUUGAAGAAGAAUCCCUCAAGGACUGCACCAUCAAGCCCUUGCUAUACUUAAGAUAUAUCAAUGACAUUUUCAUCAUUUGGACUGAAAACCUAUAAUCUUUUAUUGGUUUCCAUAAGAAAUUCAAUAAUCAUCACCCCUCCAUCAGACUCUCUCUUGGAUACUCCAACACCAGCAUUUCCUUUUUAGACACUAUGAUCACUAUCCAGAAUGGUAAGCUACAAACCACCAUAUAUAAGAAACCCAGGGACCAAUAUACAUAUCUGCACAAAACCAGCAAUCACCCUAGACACACCAAGAAAGCUGUAAUAUACAGCCAAGCCCUCUGAUACCACCACAUUUUCACUGAGGAGAACACCCAGGAUCAUCACCUCACAAAUUUCAAAAGGGCUUUCACUCAACAAGGACACUCCUCCAGGGAGAUAUAUCACACUUUUGAAAGAGCCACCUGGAUACCAUGUAAAGAAUUGCUGCACUACAGAAGGAAAAUCCCCAUGAGUCACACACAGACGUAUCAUCCCUCCCUGGAACCUAUACAGAAAAUCCUCAAACAAUUACAACCCAUACUAGAAGAAGACCCAAUUCAUAAAAAGAUCUUGCCAGAACCACCCAUCCUAGCCUUUAAACAAGCACCAAACCUCACUAACCUUAUCACCAGAAGCAAACUUCCUAUGGCCCAAAACAUACCGAAUGGAUCCAGACCAUGUCAUGACAAGAAAUGUAAAACCUGCCAACAUAUCUCCACCUUCCCCACAAUAACUAUACCCCACAACAGAACCUUCACCAUUCCUGGAUCUUAUAGCUGCACCUCCAGAAAUGUAAAAUAUUUCAUCCAGUGCACUAAAUUACCUGAUGGAAAAUAUGUAGGAGAAACCAAACAACAACUGUGUACCAGAAUGAGCAAGGAAAAUUCUAUCGAAGACAGGAAUACCCAGUUACCUGUGGGUGCACACUUCUCACAGGACAAUCACUCUCUCUCCAAUCUCUCACUUCUAAUCCUCAAAGGGAAUUUACAAAACACCUUUUGCAGACAAGUCUACAAACUUCACUUCAUCAACCUAAUGGGUACAAAAAAUCAUGAACUAAAUAUAGACAUUGGAUUUAUGACACAUUAUAACCUGCCUAACAUCUGAUACCCCAGGUAACCUCUCUGUUAUUUACCAGCUACAUCUUGUCACCAAGUCUACAUUCCCCUUCGCCCCAUCCCCAAUCUGUUUCUCAUGCAUUGAGUGCCUCGAUUUGCAUUUUCACUGGCUGGCAUUCUUGCAUACUGGUCUCUGACCUCUAUUCUAUCCCAUCCAAGAAGAGCACAAAAAAAGUAAAGAUGCUUCCUCAGCCUGAAGAAGUGUAUUUGUACCCAAAAGUUUACAAAGAAGAAUUUUUCCAGCUAUUUUAGUUGGUCUAAUAAAAGAUAUCAGAUUUACCCAAAGAACCUUGUCUGCCUAUGUCCUUAGACCAACAUGGCUACAACCAAUACCCAUUAAAUAUGUAUUAUCGUGA